rnacentral:miRNA from 1 species
GGUAAGGCCAGAGAGAGAGAGAGAGAGAGAGAGAGAGAGAGAGAGAGAGACACGAGGGAGGGAGAUGGAAAGGGAACAGUGUCUGUCGCUCUCUCUCUCUCUCUCUCUCUCUCUCUCUCUCUCUCUCUCUCGUCUC